GCCAGCAGCCAUAUCACUCUGCAACUCACAACUGGCAGCCCCACUAAAGCUCAGCAGGUGUGAGCCUGGUCAGUACCUGGAUGGGAGACCUCCUGGGAAAAACUAAGGUUGCUGCUGGAA
rnacentral:rRNA from 1 species